rnacentral:lncRNA from 1 species
UUCAUAUAUUGCUGCAUAAACUUUUCAUCAAAAAGUUUUCAUCUCUACAAUGAAAGAUACAUUGCAGAAUUCCAGCCGCAUAGCACCAUCUGUUUGAUCUUGCUACUGUGCUUUUUCUAUCCAAAUUUCUACGAAAUUUUUAUGACAUCUUUGACACUUCCUAACAGUGGAUUUUCUUUUAGUUUCAUUGAAAAAUUCUCAAUAUAAAC